GCCUGGGUGGCUCAGUCGGUUAAGCGUCCGACUUCAGCUCAGGUCACGAUCUCACGGUUCGUGGGUUCGAGCCCCGCAACAGGCU
rnacentral:tRNA from 1 species